rnacentral:lncRNA from 1 species
UGGUUGUGGUUGUGGUUGUGGUGGUGGUCGUGGUCGUGGUCGUGGUUGUGGUCGUGGUUGUUGUUGUUAUUAUGGUUGUUGUUGUUGUGGUGGUGGUGGUGGUUGUUGUUGUUGUUGUGGUUGUGGUUGUUGUGGUUGUUGUUGUCGUUGUUGUUGUUGUUGUUGUUGUUGUUGUUGUUGUUGUGGUUGUUGUUGUUGUUGUCGUUGUCAUUGUCGUUGUCGUGGUCGUGGUUGUGGUUGUGGUUGUGGUGGUGGUGGUGGUUGUGGUCGUGGUUG